CACAUGUGACGUAGUUUGACUCCGUGGCUCAGUAUUAGAACGCUGGCGGCAUGGCUAAAACAUGCAAGUCGAACGAUCCCUUCGGGGAGAGUGGCGAAAGGGCGAGGAAUAGAAUCGAAUGUACCCCAAGGUGGGGGAUAGCCUCUGGAAACGGAGGGUAAUACCCCAUGUGCUCUACGGAGAAAGGUUUACCGCCUUGGGAGCAGCGAUUCUCCUAUCAGGUAGUUGGUGAGGUAACGGCUCACCAAGCCGAAGACGGGUAGCGGGUGUGAGAGCAUGACCCGCCGCAUCGGGACUGAGACACUGCCCGGACUCCUACGGGAGGCUGCAGUAACGAAUCUUCCGCAAUGGGCGAAAGCCUGACGGAGCAAUGCCGCGUGUGGGAUGAAGCAUCUUCGAUGUGUAAACCACUGUCAGGGUCUAGGAAUACUGACCAGACCCAAAGGAAGGGCCGGCUAAUUCCGUG
rnacentral:rRNA from 1 species